rnacentral:rRNA from 1 species
AUGCACGCUGGCGGCGUGCCUAAUCCAUGCCAGUCGCGCGAACAGACGAGGAGCUUGCUCCUCUGACGUUAGCGGCGGACGGGUGAGUAACACGUGGAUAACCUACCUAUAAGACUGGGAUAACUUCGGGAAACCGGAGCUAAUACCGGAUAAUAUAUUGAACCGCAUGGUUCAAUAGUGAAAGACGGUUUUGCUGUCACUUAUAGAUGGAUCCGCGCCGCAUUAGCUAGUUGGUAAGGUAACGGCUUACUAAGGCAACGAUGCGUAGCCGACCUGAGAGGGUGAUCGGCCACACUGGAACGGAGACACGGUCCAGACUCCUACGGGAGGGAGCAGUAGGGAAUCUUCGGCAAUGGGCGAAAGCUUGACGGAGCAACGCCGCGUGAGUGAUGAAGGUCUUCGGAUCGUAAAACUCUGUUAUGAGGGAAGAACAAAUGUGUAAGUAACUAUGCACGUCUUGACGGUACCUAAUCAGAAAGCCACGGCUAACUACGUG